UGCCAGCCGCCGCGGUAAUACAGAGGGUGCGAGCGUUAAUCGGAAUUACUGGGCGUAAAGCGAGUGUAGGUGGCUCAUUAAGUCAGAUGUGAAAGCCCUGGGCUCAACCUGGGAAUUGCAUUUGAUACUGGCAGACUAGAGUAUGGUAGAGGGAAGUGGAAUUCCGGGUGUAGCGGUGAAAUGCGUAGAUAUCCGGAGGAACAUCAGUGGCGAAGGCGACUUCCUGGACCAAUACUGACGCUGAGGUGCGAAAGCGUGGGGAGCAAACAGGAUUAGAUA
rnacentral:rRNA from 1 species